AAUAAACGCUGGCGGCGUGCCUAACACAUGCAAGUCGAGCGAGAAAGUUCCUUCGGGAACAAGUAAAGCGGCAAACGGGUGAGAAACGCGUGGGAAUCUACCUUUCAGUGAGGAAUACCCUCGAGAAAUCGAGGUUAAUACUGCAUACGUCCCUACGGGGAGAAAGGCGGCCUCUUUGCUGUCGCUGAAAGAUGAGCCUGCGUACUAUUAGCUAGUUGGUAGGGUAAUGGCCUACCAAGGCGAUGAUGGUUAGCCGGCCUGAGAGGGUGUACGGCCACACUGGAACUUAGACACGGUCCAGACUCCUACGGGAGGCAGCAGUGAGGAAUCUUGCUCAAUGGGCGAAAGCCUGAAGCAGCGACGCCGCGUGAAGGAUGAAGGUCUUCGGAUUGUAAACUUCUGUUAAGUGGGAAGAAAUCUCCAUCUCUAAUACAGAUGGGGGAUGACGGUACCAUUAGAGAAAGCACUGGCUAAUCUCGUGCCAGCAGCCGCGGUAAUACGAGGGGUGCAAGCGUUAUUCGGAUUUAUUGGGCGUAAAGGGUGCGUAGACGGCAUGCUAAGUCAACUGUUAAAUUCCUCGGCCUAACUGAGGAUCAGCGGUAGAAACUGGCGCGCUUGAGGGUGAGAGAGAGAAGUGGAAUUCUCGGAGUAGCGGUAAAAUGCGUAGAUCUCGAGAGGAACACCGAUGGCGAAGGCAGCUUCUUGGCUCAUUUCUGACGUUGAGGCACGAAAGCGUGGGGAGCAAACAGGAUUAGAUACCCUGGUAGUCACGCCGUAAACGAUGAUCACUGGACGUUAAUGCUGCUAUGCAGUAUUAGUGUCGUAGCUAACGCGAUAAGUGAUCCGCCUGGGGAUUACGGUCGCAAGACUAAAACUCAAAGGAAUUGACGGGGGUCCGCACAAGCGGUGGAACAUGUGGUUUAAUUCGACACUACGCGAGGAACCUUACCUAGGCUUGACAUGUAUUUGACAGUCGUAGAAACACGAUCUUUCUAGCUUCGGUUAGAACAAUUACACAGGUGCUGCAUGGCUGUCGUCAGCUCGUGUCGUGAGAUGUUUGGUUAAGUCCUCUAACGAGCGCAACUCUUGCCGCCAGUUGCUACUUCUAACGAAGGCACUCUGGUGGGACUGCCUGGGAAACCAGGAGGAAGGUGGGAAUGACGUCAAGUCCUCAUGGCCCUUAUGCCUAGGGCGACACACGUGUUACAAUGGCCAGUACAAAGGGAAGCGAACUUGCAAAAGGGAGCAAAUCCCACAAAACUGGUCUAAGUUCAGAUUGAGGUCUGCAACUCGACCUCAUGAAGUUGAAAUCGCUAGUAAUCGCAUAUCAGAACGAUGCGGUGAAUACGUUCUCGGGCCUUGUACACACCGCCCGUCACACCACGAAAGCUGUUUGUACCCAAAGCCAUCUUAGCUAACCCGUAAGGGAGGCAGAUGUCUAAGGUAUGAGGAGUGAUUGGGGU
rnacentral:rRNA from 1 species